AUUGAACGCUGGCGGCAUGCCUUACACAUGCAAGUCGAACGGCAGCACGGGAGCGAUCCUGGUGGCGAGUGGCGAACGGGUGAGUAAUAUAUCGGAACGUGCCCAGUCUGGGGGAUAACGUAGCGAAAGCUACGCUAAUACCGCAUACGAUCUAUGGAUGAAAGCGGGGGAAUCGCAAGACCUCGCGCGAUUGGAGCGGCCGAUAUCAGAUUAGGUAGUUGGUGAGGUAAAGGCUCACCAAGCCGACGAUCUGUAGCUGGUCUGAGAGGACGGACCAGCCACACUGGGACUGAGACACGGGCCCCAGACUCCUACGGGAGGCAGCAGUGGGGAAUUUUUGGGACAAUGGGCGCAAGGCCUGAUCCAGCAAUGCCGCGUGCAGGAU
rnacentral:rRNA from 1 species